UGGGUAGUCCGCACGAGCGCAACCUCGUCUCCAGUUGCCAUCAGGUUAUGCUGGGCACUUUGGAGAAACUGCCGGUGACAAGCCGGAGGAAGGUGGGGAUGACGUCAAGUCCUCAUGGCCCUUACGGGCUGGGCUACACACGUGCUACAAUGGCGGUGACAGUGGGAUGCGAAGGGGCGACCCGGAGCCGAUCCCCAAAAACCGUCCCAGUUCGGAUUGCACUCUGCAACUCGAGUGCAUGAAGUUGGAAUCGCUAGUAAUCGCGGAUCAGCAUGCCGCGGUGAAUACGUUCCCGGGCCUUGUACACACCGCCCGUCACGCCAUGGGAGUUGGUUCUACCCGAAAACGGUGCGCUAACCGCAAGGGGGCAGCCGGUCACGGUAGGAUCAAUGACUGGGGCGAAGUCGUAACAAGGUAGCCGUAGGGGAACCUGCGGCUGGAUCACCUCCUUUCU
rnacentral:rRNA from 1 species